ACAGAGCAUAGUUAUAUAAUGCAUGAUACAGAGCUAAGCUAGCGCGCCGCACGUGCUCUCCCUACAAACAAUCCAGAGGGGGGAGAGAGAGAGAGAGGAGACAGGUGUACUGAUUGAUAACAUUCGCCUUUCGGUAUUAAUAUUGUCGUUAGCAUAUCUUCCGCACUGGUCAGCCUAUCCCGGAAUGGAAUGUAAACAAUCUAAGAAGAGGUUCAAGUUAUACCUCGAACCAAAUAGCACUGCUGCUGUUCCAACCAUGACUUUGUGGAGAAAGAAAAGAGCUAACAAAUCAACCCCUUCCGACCUCACUUGCGGCAGCAGCCAACAUGCAAACUCUGAGGAUGAAGAAGUCUCCGUGGAGCAGCAAGAGCGCCUUAGGUCUCCCGCUAGAAAUGGCGAAUUUACUUCCACUUCCAGUGAAGAGUUGAUUAACAUGGACAACCGUAUAUCGGGCAGGAGCAAAACGAGACAUGUGAGGAGGAAAAGAUCAAGACCAAGGACGAUUAUUUGUACUUCAAGUUCAGAAUCGGAUGACUGCCAAAACACAGAAGCGUCUGUUGCCGAUUCUGAUUUGUUGUCUUCUAUGGCAGAAAUGAUUGCUUCUGACGUUGACUAUCCAGAUGUUUGUGGAGAAGAUAAAAGUGUGAUAAGCACUCUAAAUGGAGAGAACAGACAUGAUAACUUAGUUGCUAUAGAUGACAUACAAGAUGAAGGUGAUGCUGGUGAUUUGAAUGGCUCUGUAACUUCCAUUUCACAAGAUAUUGACCAUCAAGAUGUAUUCAGUGACUUUCUAGAUGAUAGAAAUUUUGACGUUGAGGAUACAGUUGACGACAUUUAUCCUGAUAGAUCAGCAUCUCUUAAUAACAGUGAUGAUGAAACUGACAUUGAGGAAUGGUGGGAUGCAGAAGAGGAAGUUGAUAUGGGAAUUAAUCAAGGUAGCAGUGACGAGAACAGCGAUAGUAACAAUAAUGAUGAAUCCAUCAUGAUUGAUGAUACUUUGAAUGACUCUCUGUUUGAAGGGUCAAAAGUUUCAAAGGCAGAAGCAUUGAUACUUAUAUUGUCGUUUGUUAUGAAACAUUGCCUGUCGGCGUUGGCAGUAGGUGAUCUACUGGAACUAAUGAACAUUCUCAUAGGCAAGCAUGUAUUCAAAUCAGUCAAGUCUAUAAUGAAACUUAUUUUUUGUAACAAUGUAAUACAACUCCGUUUCCACUUUUAUUGUUUAUACUGCUAUGCAUUUGUGCGCUCAUAUUCAGGUGUAUCAGAUGAUAAUUUAUCAUGUCCACACUGUAACAAGGCCUGUAUCGUGUCUGACCUUAGUAAAGGAAACUUUUUUGUGACAGCAAAUCUAUGCUCCCAAGUAAAAUCCCUCUUUCAGCGAAGAGAUAUAAAUCCACAUUUAUUUUAUCGUGAUAGUAGAUCUAAGAUGAAAAGGGACAAUACCGAAGAUAUCUACGAUGGGAGUGUUUAUAAAACUAUGAUGGAAGAUGGGCAACCCCUCAGCAAUAAACAUAAUUUCUCAUAUUGUUUUAACUCAGAUGGGUUGCCAGUAUUCAAAUCCUCUAAGUUCUCAAUAUGGCCAAUAUUCAUUAUGAUAAAUGAAUUACCACCACGAUUGAGAUUCAAAAACUUAAUCCUUGCUGGUGUUUGGUUUGGAGAUAAGGAACCAAAAAUGGAAAUAUUUCUUCAGGAGUUUGCAACCGAAGCCAACAAGCUAGCAGAAGAAGGAAUCUUUUGGAUGAAUGAAGGAUCACGUAUCCACAGUAAACUUUUUGGGCUGUGUUGUUGUGCUGAUGCACCAGCAAGAGCUGCAAUGCAAAACACUAUGAAAUUUAAUGGGUAUUUUGGAUGUGGUCUUUGCUAUCACCCUGGUAAAAUUGUUGACAGAGUAAUUAAGUACCCAUUUGAUGUCUGUGAUUACAAUGAUAGAACAGAUAGCGAAGUACUUGAAGAUAUGACAAGGGCAAUUAAUGAAGGAAGAACAAUAAGGGGUAUCAAAGGCCCAAGUGCUUUGAUAAAUCUGUCCAAUUUUCCAAUUUGUUGGGGCUUCCCUCCGGAUUUCAUGCACUGUUUGUUGUUGGGUGUUGUAAGACAACUCUCAGAAUUAUGGUUUGCAUCACCAGCUAGCAGCCCAUUUUACAUAGGCUCACCAAGGAUGGUCUCUCUUAUAGACAAAAGAUUGAAGUCUAUUCAACCACCAAGUAAUGUUGCAAGAGCUCCAAGACCGAUUUCUGUACGAAAAUAUUGGAAAGCUUCUGAAUGGUACUCCUGGUUGCUUUUCUAUGGUGUGAUUUGUUUAAAUGGAAUCCUACCAGAAGAAUUCUUACAGCAUUUCAUUGUUCUUGUAAAGGCUUCCUUCCUUCUUCUACAAAAGUCCAUAUCAUUGGCAGACAUAAAGCAAAGUGAUGUACUUUUAUUUUCAUUCGUAUGUCGCUUUCAAUUGCUUUAUGGGACAAACGCAAUGACAUUUAAUGUACACCAAUUAACUCACCUUGCCAAGAGUGUUUAUUCCUGGGGUCCAUUGUGGACCCAUUCUUGUUUUCCAUUUGAGUCGGCUAACUGGAAAAUAAAACGUCAAUUGCAGGGGAGUAAAGGAUUCAUAAUGCAGGUAAUGAGAAAAUUUCUGACAUUGCAGACUUUGCCCUUAUUCAUUGAUCAUCAUUUUAUUUCACCCCGGGUCAAAAUUUUCACAUCAAAAAUGCUAAACCUAAAAAGUAACUUAAAUGAUUUACAUGUACAUGUAGAUCAUAUCCAGCUUGUAGGCUCUGGUCGUUCUGUGCAGUGUUCGGAUCCAGAAAGGGAGGCGCUUGCUGACAUUGGUCAUUUCCUCGAUGAAAAUCAGUCAGUUGUUUCAUUUACCAGGCUUAAAAUGAAUGGCUUCCUCUUUUGUACAUCUGAAUACAGGACAGAGACUAUGAAAAGAAAUAACAGACUAGUCACAUUUUCAGAGGGCAGGGUUGGUAAAUUGGUAAAGAUUUUGUCAUCAAAUGAUCAAUGUUUUAUGAUAGUGAAGUUGCUUAUUUUAGAAGACGAACCACCAUUUUUUGAUCGUAAAUCUGAAUCUGAACUUGGUCAUGUGAAAAUCUGUACUAACUAUGCCGAAUCAUUAACUGCUUUUCAGGCAAAAGAUGCUGUUGGUAAUUGUAUAUCAAUGAAUGCUGAUGGGAUACAUUACAUUGCUGAGUUUCCUAAUUAUGUAGCCCUUAACUGAUCGAUUGAAUUGGGCACUUUGAUAGUCAUAUUUUUGUCAUGCCAAUUAAAUGUUUCUCUGCCUCACAUGUGUACAUUAAUGCUAAAGCUGCUAAACCUGUCUGAAAUUGGAUUUUUAAGAGAAAGAUAACUUGUGUUAUAUUUUCAAUUUGUAUUUCUUUCAAAAUAGAAGCAAGAAUUGAGGCUACAUGUUAUAAUACUUAAUAUUGUCCUUUGAAUGUUAAAAUUAUCUGAUACACCUGAAUCUAGAAUUGAUCUCGAUGUUUGGUUGCUUAAUUACAUUAGGUCAAGUAGCAACGGGAUUCUUCUUUUACAUGUUUUACACCUUGAUGAACAAUGGAACUGAAAUAGGCAAUUAAGGUGUGCUUUGUGUCAAUGUGAUAGCGUCUGGUGCGCUUGUCUGCGGACAUUAUUUGAGCAUCCAACUGAAGUAUCGAGCAGGUGAAACCUUGUUUAGUUAUAAGUCUUGGUACUCUUGCAACAUUAUUUGUGGUUGAAUAGAUUUCAAUCUUUUUCUCUUUAAGAAAAACUAUCCUUAGUGAGCCUAUGUAAAACGAGAUACUAACUGGUGAUAUAAACCAUAAUCAUUUAAGAAAUAAAAUUAGAUAACCAU